AAGUCGUAACAAGGUAUCCGUAGGUGAACCUGCGGAUGGAUCAUUAUCACGUUAUCCACGUAUCAACCAUUGUGAACUAGUAACCUUACCUUUGUUGGAAUUAGUGAGAGUUUCGGCUUUUACUAAGACUUAACAAUUGUAUUUUUUUUUAAUUUCAUUAUUAACUAUUUAAACAAUUUUUUAAAUAAUUAACUAUUGAACUGAUACAUUUCUUACUCUUUCGGGAGAAGAAAUAAAAAUUACGAAACAUAAGAACAACUCUUAGCAACGGAUAUCUUGGUUCUC
rnacentral:misc_RNA from 1 species